GAAUGCUGACAUAAGUAACGAUAAAGCGGGUGAAAAGCCCGCUCGCCGGAAGACCAAGGGUUCCUGUCCAACGUUAAUCGGGGCAGGGUGAGUCGACCCCUAAGGCGAGGCCGAAAGGCGUAGUCGAUGGGAAACAGGUUAAUAUUCCUGUACUUGGUGUUACUGCGAAGGGGGGACGGAGAAGGCUAUGUUGGCCGGGCGACGGUUGUCCCGGUUUAAGCGUGUAGGCUGGUUUUCCAGGCAAAUCCGGAAAAUCAAGGCUGAGGCGUGAUGACGAGGCACUACGGUGCUGAAGCGACAAAUGCCCUGCUUCCAGGAAAAGCCUCUAAGCAUCAGGUAACAUCAAAUCGUACCCCAAACCGACACAGGUGGUCAGGUAGAGAAUACCAAGGCGCUUGAGAGAACUCGGGUGAAGGAACUAGGCAAAAUGGUGCCGUAACUUCGGGAGAAGGCACGCUGAUAUGUAGGUGAAGCGACUUGCUCGUGGAGCUGAAAUCAGUCGAAGAUACCAGCUGGCUGCAACUGUUUAUUAAAAACACAGCACUGUGCAAACACGAAAGUGGACGUAUACGGUGUGACGCCUGCCCGGUGCCGGAAGGUUAAUUGAUGGGGUUAGCGGUAACGCGAAGCUCUUGAUCGAAGCCCCGGUAAACGGCGGCCGUAACUAUAACGGUCCUAAGGUAGCGAAAUUCCUUGUCGGGUAAGUUCCGACCUGCACGAAUGGCGUAAUGAUGGCCAGGCUGUCUCCACCCGAGACUCAGUGAAAUUGAACUCGCUGUGAAGAUGCAGUGUACCCGCGGCAAGACGGAAAGACCCCGUGAACCUUUACUAUAGCUUGACACUGAACAUUGAGCCUUGAUGUGUAGGAUAGGUGGGAGGCUUUGAAGUGUGGACGCCAGUCUGCAUGGAGCCGACCUUGAAAUACCACCCUUUAAUGUUUGAUGUUCUAACGUGGGCCCCUUACCGGGGUUGCGGACAGUGUCUGGUGGGUAGUUUGACUGGGGCGGUCUCCUCCUAAAGAGUAACGGAGGAGCACGAAGGUUGGCUAAUCCUGGUCGGACAUCAGGAGGUUAGUGCAAUGGCAUAAGCCAGCUUGACUGCGAGCGUGACGGCGCGAGCAGGUGCGAAAGCAGGUCAUAGUGAUCCGGUGGUUCUGAAUGGAAGGGCCAUCGCUCAACGGAUAAAAGGUACUCCGGGGAUAACAGGCUGAUACCGCCCAAGAGUUCAUAUCGACGGCGGUGUUUGGCACCUCGAUGUCGGCUCAUCACAUCCUGGGGCUGAAGUAGGUCCCAAGGGUAUGGCUGUUCGCCAUUUAAAGUGGUACGCGAGCUGGGUUUAGAACGUCGUGAGACAGUUCGGUCCCUAUCUGCCGUGGGCGCUGGAGAACUGAGGGGGGCUGCUCCUAGUACGAGAGGACCGGAGUGGACGCAUCACUGGUGUUCGGGUUGUCAUGCCAAUGGCACUGCCCGGUAGCUAAAUGCGGAAGAGAUAAGUGCUGAAAGCAUCUAAGCACGAAACUUGCCCCGAGAUGAGUUCUCCCUGACUCCUUGAGAGUCCUGAAGGAACGUUGAAGACGACGACGUUGAUAGGCCGGGUGUGUAAGCGCAGCGAUGCGUU
rnacentral:rRNA from 2 species